GUAGGUGGCAAGCGUUGUCCGGAAUUAUUGGGGCGUAAAGCGCGCGCAGGCGGUUCUUUAAGUCUGAUGUGAAAGCCCACGGCUCAACCGUGGAGGGGUCAUUGGAAACUGGAGAACUUGAGUACAGAAGAGGAAUGCGGAAUUCCACGUGUAGCGGUGAAAUGCGUAGAGAUGUGGAGGAACACCAGUGGCGAAGGCGGCUUUCUGGUCUGUAACUGACGCUGAGGCGCGAAAGCGUGGGGAGCAAGCAGGAUUAGAUACCCUGGUAGUCCACGCCGUAAACGAUGAGUGCUAAGUGUUAGGGGGUUUCCGCCCCUUAGUGCUGCAGCUAGCGCAUUAAGCACUCCGCCUGGGGAGUACGGCCGCAAAGGCUGA
rnacentral:rRNA from 1 species